ACGUAGGGUGCGAGCGUUAAUCGGAAUUACUGGGCGUAAAGCGUGCGCAGGCGGUUUUUUAAGACAGGGGUGAAAUCCCCGCGCUCAACCUGGGAACUGCCUUGGAGACUGCAAGGCUGGAGUGCGGAAGAGGGAAGUGGAAUUCCCCGUGUAGCGGUGAAAUGCGUAGAGAUGGGGAGGAACACCAGUGGCGAAGGCGACGUACUGGGCCGUAACUGACGCUGAUGCGCGAAAGCGUGGGGAGCGAACAG
rnacentral:rRNA from 1 species